UACGAAGGGGGCUAGCGUUGCUCGGAAUUAUUGGGCGUAAAGGGUGCGUAGAUGGUAAGGUAAGUUAUUGGUGGGAAAUCGAGGCCUAACCUCGUGGAAGCUGGUAAUACUACCAUACUAGAGUGCAGGAGAGGUUAACGGAACUCCAUGUGGAGCGGUAAAAUGUGUAGAUAUAUGGAAGAACAUCAAUAACGGCGAAGGCAGUUAACUAUUCUGCUACUGACAUUGAGGCACGAAGGCGUGGGGAGCAAAACGG
rnacentral:rRNA from 1 species